rnacentral:miRNA from 1 species
AGCAUGAGACUUGUGGAAAUGU